CAGUCGCCGCGGUAAUACGAAGGGGGCUAGCGUUGUUCGGAAUUACUGGGCGUAAAGCGCACGUAGGCGGACAUUUAAGUCAGGGGUGAAAUCCCGGGGCUCAACCCCGGAACUGCCUUUGAUACUGGGUGUCUAGAGUAUGGAAGAGGUGAGUGGAAUUCCGAGUGUAGAGGUGAAAUUCGUAGAUAUUCGGAGGAACACCAGUGGCGAAGGCGGCUCACUGGUCCAUUACUGACGCUGAGGUGCGAAAGCGUGGGGAGCAAACAGGAUUAGAGACCCCCGUAGUCCCUGUCUCUUAUAC
rnacentral:rRNA from 1 species